AGCGAGCGCGUCAGACGGUUGAGCUGCUCCAUCGCUCUCUCCAUCCUCGGCGCGGCCUCCGCGAAGCCCCCGCCGCGCCCGCGGCCUCCGCGACCCGCGCCCUACAUCCCCGCACAGGCCGGGAGAAGGAGCGAGCUCGCUGCGGCCGGCGCCCAGGAACGCUAGGAUGCUAAGCCGAGUCAGUCCGCCGCACCGACGGCUGCCAACCAGACCGCGCUGGGGUGGGCACCAGCCGCCGCCUCCGCUCGCUCGCGCCUUUCCUGCCGCGGCCCCGCUUCCCUCCUGGGCUCGCGAAGCCUUCUGGGAACUGUAGUUUCGAGCUGGCUGGGCCGCACUCCCCGACGGAGCCACGCCUCUAUGGCAUCUAUGUGGUGAUCUGUAGGUUAGACUGAGCAAUUUGUGGAAAUACUUUGUGGGCUUUCACGCGCCCUCACGUUCUUCCCUCCAAAGUUGUAUAAGAGCAUCCUCCCUCGGUUCUAACACACCCCAGUAAAGCAGAUUAGAGAAUUUCAGUUAUUCCUAAAUUCAUCACCACCAAGCUAAAACAGAUGUACUUUUCUAUAAACAAAUGCCUUAACUAUCCUGCUUACAAAUUAAAUUUUGAACAGUAAUAAAACUCAAGUUCGAAAGC
rnacentral:lncRNA from 1 species